AAAACAAAAGCAAAAAUUGUAUGGCAACACAACAACAAAAAUCGCCAAUGUAGCGCCCGCUGGCAAGGCGAGGCGACAACAACAACAACAACAACAGCAACAGCAACAACAUCAACAGCGCCAACAACAAUAUCAGCAGCACGUCGGCGUUUUGUGCACUCAAACGAAAACAUUUUCAGUUUUCAGUGGGGCGUCAUUGUCGUUGUUGUUGUUGUUGUUGUUGGCACUCCACAUCGCAGACAUUGGGGCAGGCGGUGGCCAAGUGCUGUGCGGAGGGGUUAGCACUCAGUGUUGCACACCUUUCGCCUGACUUGACGAGUCUUGACUCAACUGAACUCAACUGAGCUGGUUAACUGCCUGACUCUACCUGGUUGCAACAACAACGAAAACGACAACGACAACAACAAAGGCAACAACCGAGCUUAUCUUGACAGCCACCAGAGCGCUGCACCUCAGCACUUUGUAAUGAUGAUUGCGCCCAGCGGCAACGGCAACAAGAGCAACAGCUACAGCAACAACAGCAACAACAACAACAACAACAGCAACUUUAACAAUGGCAGCAGCAACAAUUGCAGCACAUGAAGUUCAAUUGCCAAACUAUGCGAAACAAAGCGAACUUCACUAAUUUGUCUUAGCCCAAAGAUUAAAAUACGUGUAAUUCAUUUUGUUUGCCAGCAAUUGCCAUACAAAACGGAAUUUGAACAGAAAUGUUACCAAGAUCCGUCUUUUAUGCUCUGUCUAGGGUCUGAUAACGAAACUUGAUCAAAACUCUAUUGAUUUUCAUGCGAGUUUACAUUAUUUUUUCUCUAAUUUAAACCAAUCAAAACUCUAUGCGCUUUUAUGCUUUAUGAUAUAUUUUUGCGUCUACAUAAACUUUGCAUGCAAAAUUUAAGCAUUUCCGUUUAACUAACAUAACUCGAUCAAAGCUCUUUCCGGGCUUAACCAAACUUCAGACUCUUAUUACUCAAGUACAACUUUCUCUAAGAUAUAUCUUUUCGUUCAGAAUUUGUGCCUCAGAUCGAUUUGAUGCUUAUUUAUUUUCUGUUUAAGUAAACAUAUUUUCUCCAGCCUUUGCACUUUAAAUCUGUUGCCUAAUGUACGUAUAUUUUUAUGGCACUUUGACAACGACAACGGGUUAAGGCGGAAAAAGAAAAGACAACUCAAUUGUCUGCUUCCCAGUGGCCACUCGACGCCGCCUUUCACACCUUUUCUACACCCACAACCACUCCCACACACACACACACACACACACACACACACACAGCUGCAGUUGGCAAAGAGGUAAAAGGAAAAUCAAUUUUCAGCCAGAAAGCGCACGCGAGUACGAAAAAAUAAAAGAAAGAAGGAAAGCAAUGAAAUGUGCCAGGCCAUAAAAUGCAACUGUCAACGAAAAACUUUGUUGUUGCUUGCCAAUUUGUUGUUGUUGCUGUUUUUCUUGUUGCUGUUGGUGCAACAUGAAAAUGGCUUGCAGCUUGCCGCGCUGGCAAAAUAUUGAAUUCAAUUUAAAGCGCAAGCGGCGUUCAUAAAUCUCCACCAUGUGCAGAGAGUAGAAAGGCAGAAACAGCCAAAGGCACAGACCCCAACAAAGUGAAAGAGUCGCAAAUGCGCCCAAAAGCUGAAGGGGGGACCCCAAAGAUUAUGGCCCACGGCUCAGCCAGGCUUGGCUCAUUGCCGCGAUUACAGUCGUGACGGGAGGGGGGCAGGGGGGCCUGUUGUUGCCUGCUGCCACAAAUUGUUGCCCUUCCCCAGAUGCUGCAUGGCAAAAUUAAAUACCAAAAAUAAAAAACAAAAAAACCAACCAAACAAAACAAAAAAAAACUGUCGACACUUGAAAUUGUGCAAAACGAGGCGCACAAAAUGAAUGAAAAUUAAUUUCAAUUAAAAAAAGCUUAAGUGGAAUGGUAUAUUAAUGGAUUUAUGCGCAGCUUUCCUGCAGAGCAUUAAGCUCUGCUCACGCUUAAAACUGCUUGCGAAUUAUAAGCGUUUGCUGGGCAAGCAGUUCCAUGCUUCUUUCUUGCAUUAGCAUGAUAUCGUUCGACUUUUAUUAUAUCAUUAUGAUAGGCUACAAAUAGCGUCGAAUGCCCCUGCCCCAAACCUUUUAGCCAAAUUAAUUGCCAAUGGCAUUUGGCCAGACAGCUGCAAAGUCUGCUUUAUGAACGCCCAUCAUAAAUUAACGUGGAAAAUUUUGCGUGACGUUGGCAAAAAAAAACAAAAACCGAAAAAAAAAAAGAAACCUUGUCGCACUUUGAUUACUUGCUGUGUUGCCCCAAAAGUGGGGUAGCGCGGAGCGGCUAUGCAAAUCUUGACUAGUAGCUGCCACCGCGGCAACUAAAUGAACAUUGCGAUUGCCCCUGUGGCUGCCCCUGCGCCAGUGCCUGUGCCUUCAGCUCGGGAAUUGUUUAACUUCAUCAGGCGAGGCAAAGAUGGCAACAAGAGCUGAAUGUAUUAUAUAUCUAGCCUAUGUGUGCCUGUGUUCGUGUAUGUGUGUGUGUGUGUGUGUGUGUGUGUUGGUCUGUGGCAAGUCUGUUGCCUGGCAUCGUAUCUGCCCGGCAGUUACUUUAGCUCUACAGUGCCUCAUUCUUCUCUGGCUUUUGUGCCCUUUACUGCAACAUAAAACCAAAAGUAUGCUGCAGCUAAAAGGCCCCGAGGACAACAGACCAAAGCACUUGAACAGCGCGCUGAGGUUGCAAAAGAUUCAGUAGAGCGAGGUGAGACACGGGCGCGGAAACGGGCCAGAAAGAAGCAAAAAUACUCUAGAGACAGUUUUAACUAAGAGUUAGCCAGUGCCAAAGUCUUGAUCAUAUAAAAAUGUUUAAGUCUUGAAUUUAAGACUAAGAUGUUGUUAGGCAAUUAACAUUUUUAUUAAAGUAACUUCAAAUGUUGUCAAUUCCACAGCGAAGGCAACAAAUUAUGUAAAAAAAAUGCUGUUAAAUUGACGCUGACAGUUGCUUAACAUGGUAUACAAACUCUUUUAAAAGCUUUUUUAAGUAAAUACUCUGCACAUUUAAAACUAUAUAUUUACAUAACAGCUUCUGAACAUAGCGCUAUGAUGUUAAAGUGGUACAGUUUUUAUCGCUGUUAACUAGAUGUUGUUAAAGUAACUGACGCAUAUCUUUGUUAACAGCUGCUUAACAUAGUCUGCUCUGUUAAGGCCCCGUUGUUGGCCUUUGCGUAGCGCUGUUUAUAAAAGCACGCCCCAUAUCCCUAACAGUUGAUACUCAAAACACAAACUAAAUUCCAUAUACCCCGUUUCAUGCACAUUUUAAAUGCAGAGCAUGCGAAUGUCGUGUCCCAAGACAAACUGAAAAGAUUUGCAAUAUUUGCUGUUGUGGUCGGGGCUGCCGCAUUUAUUGCUGUUGCGGCAGCCUGAAACAAACACAACUCAAAUUGAAAUGUAGAAAGUUAUGAAUCUGAAGAUAAACUUAAUUUGGGCACAGUCCGGCACACACAAUUUGGCUGUAAAUAAUUAAAGACCACAAAGACCCAGAGGUAUGCUCAAAACCAGCUAUCGAAUAUGAAUGGAAUAAUCAAUCGAUAAAUCGAAUUAAGAAGCUGCUGCUGCACACAUUACAACAACUUCAAGCCAAA